GUAGGGUGCAAGCGUUGUCCGGAUUCAUUGGGCGUAAAGGGCUAGUAGGCGGCUUAGCAAGUCGGGUGUGAAAACUUCAGGCUCAACCUGGAGCGGCCAUCCGAUACUGCUAUGGCUAGAGUCCGGUAGGGGACCACGGAAUUCCUGGUGUAGCGGUGAAAUGCGCAGAUAUCAGGAGGAACACCGAUGGCGAAGGCAGUGGUCUGGGCCGGAACUGACGCUGAAUAGCGAAAGCGUGGGUAGCGAACAGGAUUAGAUACCCUGGUAGUCCACGCCGUAAACGUUGGGCACUAGGUGUGGGGAGUUAUCAACGCUCUCCGUGCCGUAGCUAACGCAUUAAGUGCCCCGCCUGGGGAGUACGGCCGCAAGGCUA
rnacentral:rRNA from 1 species